UACGUAGGGUGCGAGCGUUGUCCGGAAUUAUUGGGCGUAAAGAGCUUGUAGGCGGUUUGUCACGUCGGCUGUGAAAUCCCGAGGCUCAACCUCGGGUCUGCAGUCGAUACGGGCAAACUAGAGUAUUGCAGGGGAGACUGGAAUUCCUGGUGUAGCGGUGAAAUGCGCAGAUAUCAGGAGGAACACCGGUGGCGAAGGCGGGUCUCUGGGCAAUAACUGACGCUGAGGAGCGAAAGCGUGGGGAGCGAACAGG
rnacentral:rRNA from 1 species